AAACUGCAGCUGCAGUCUUCGAGGAGAAGGAAGGGAUGGUGUACUCGGCAGAUGCAGACGUGCAUGGGAGGCCUCGCCAGCCACAAGUGAUGAAAUAGCUCCUAAGUUCAUCAGAACAAUCCCGUUCCAAGCCAAUGACCAGCUCUUCAGAUGAGCUAAACUCCAGCUCUGUUGGACUCCAGGUAGCCACUAACAUAGCAUUUAGCAUUCUUUCUUCCCCUUUCUGCCACAUCUCAUCUCACAGCUCUAGACUCCCCCAUAACUACCCUGAGGAGCUAGAUGGUAUGGUGGAAACACAGCAGUUGUGUGAGGUGUGCCUACUGCUGCUGCAGCCUGGCUAGGAGUGAGCAGGAGAACCCAGGGCCCUGCAUUUGGAUGCUGAUAGAGCAACAACCCUCCCCUACACACACCCCAAAGGAUUAAGCUCUUUCUGCAGAGGGAGUCUGGGAAGAUUGGAUAAACUCUUUGAGUAAGGAAGGUAUUAGCUGGGAAAUGAUGCAGCAAGUACUCCAGGGGCGCCUGGGACCCUGAUGGAGUCUGUCCUUGUGUUGGACAAGACGGCCCUAAAGACAAGGCAGGCAUUACAGGAGUUGCUAGUGG
rnacentral:lncRNA from 1 species